CAAUAGCGUAUAUUUAAGUUGCUGCAGUUAAAAAGCUCGUAGUUGGAUUUCGGGUGGGAAUGGCCGGUCCGCCGUUUCGGUGUGCACUUGCUACGCCCACCUUGCUGCCGGGGACGUGCUCUUGAGUUCACGCUCGGGACACGGAGUCGGCGAGGUUACUUUGAGUAAAUUAGAGUGUUCAAAGCAGGCCUACGCUCUGAAUACAUUAGCAUGGAAUAACACGAUAGGACUCUGGCCUAUCUUGUUGGUCUGUAGGACCGUAGUAAUGAUUAAGAGGGACAGUCGGGGGCAUUCGUAUUUCAUUGUCAGAGGUGAAAUUCUUGGAUUUAUGAAAGACGAACUACUGCGAAAGCAUUUGCCAAGGAUGUUUUCAUUAA
rnacentral:rRNA from 1 species